rnacentral:rRNA from 1 species
GUGGGGAAUCUUGCGCAAUGGGCGAAAGCCUGACGCAGCCAUGCCGCGUGAAUGAUGAAGGUCUUAGGAUUGUAAAAUUCUUUCACCGGGGACGAUAAUGACGGUACCCGGAGAAGAAGCCCCGGCUAACUUCGUGCCAGCAGCCGCGGUAAUACGAAGGGGGCUAGCGUUGCUCGGAUUUACUGGGCGUAAAGGGCGCGUAGGCGGACAUUUAAGUCAGGGGUGAAAUCCCGGGGCUCAACCUCGGAACUGCCUUUGAUACUGGGUGUCUUGAGUAUGAGAGAGGUGUGUGGAACGCCGAGUGUAGAGGUGAAAUUCGUAGAUAUUCGGAAGAACACCAGUGGCGAAGGCGACACACUGGCUCAUUACUGACGCUGAGGCGCGAAAGCGUGGGGAGCAAACAGGAUUAGAUACCCCAGUAGUCC